rnacentral:SRP_RNA from 1 species
GCCGGGUGUGGUGGCUCAUGCCUGUAAUCCCAGCACUUUGGGAGGCUGAGAUGGGAGGAUUGCUUGAGCUCAGGAGUUCAAGACCAGCCUGGGCAACAUGGUGAGACCCCGUCUCUA